rnacentral:lncRNA from 1 species
UCGCCGUCGUAGCUCCCCGCCGUUCGACCGCUCGCCCGCUCGCCAGCUCGCGCCGCUGCCUCACCCGCGCCUGGCCAUCCCCGUCUGUCUCGGUUCGUGGGUUCCGGGAGCUGCCGAAGCUCGUCCUCGCCGCCGUGAGCCGCCGUGCGCCCCCGCCUCAGCUCGCCGGAAGUCCCUCGGCCCAUCUCGGCCCUUGUGCGCCUCAACCGGCGCCGAAUCCGCCCCCAACCAGCAGCCACCGGCGAGCAGGAAAAAUGGGUAUGACAGCCCCUUCAUGUCCCGUUUUGGCUGCCUUCCCGAGCCCGAAUGCUCAGCCCGCCUUGAGGAAAGUCGAUCCUCGCGUUGUCCUCGUCGUUUUGGUCCGCUCGGCUCGCUAAUCCGGUGAGUUUAACUCACUAAACCUUGAUUAGACGGUUAAUGAUGCCCUAAGUGAGCUUAGCCUAAGUUAAGUAAGCUUAGUGGGUUGAAUUAGUUUAAUUGGUUGAUGAUUAGAUUAUGGUGUUUAAUUAAGUUAAAGUGUGUUUAGUUUAAAGUUAAGUAUGUUUAUUGUUAAUAUAAAGCCUUGAUGUGACAUAAAAGGAUUUUAAUUUUGAAUUAGUUAAUUGCUUCGAAAUUCUGGAAAUUUAUAAUAUUAUAUUAUAUUCCGAAAUUAUUAAAAUAUUAUUAUAUAAAAAAAAACGGAAAAAUUAUUUUUGAUCCCGGUUGCUCAGAAUUUCGUGCCGAUCGCUGCUGUGUAGUUGGAUUUAGAAAUUGAUGAUUGGAUAUUAUAAAUCGAGUGUGGAUUGUGAAAGAUAUGGAUAUUAUUAUUUAAUUAAUUUUCGAAAUAAAUUUAAUUAUUAAAUAAAUUCCGAAAAUUAAGUUGAGACCCUAAAUUCUCAGAAUUUUGUGCCGAUCGCUGCUGUGUAUUCAGAUUAUGAAUUUGAUGGUUAGAUAUUACAAAUUGAGUGAUGAUUUGUGCAAUUGAUUAUUGAAUUGUUGUGUGCUGGUUGAAAGACUCGGGUCGCAGUAGUGGCUAGGCCGACUGGAUCCUUAUUCUGCUAGAAAUGCCGUCAAGAGAAUGACGUGGCUUGGUCGCAGUAGUGGCGAGACCGACUGGACCUUUAUUCUUCUAGAAAUGCUGUCGAUAGAACGACGUGGCAUGGUCGCAGUAGUGGCGAGACCGACUGGACCUUUAUUCUUCUAGAAAUGCUGUCGAUAGAACGACGUGGCAUGGUCGCAGUAGUGGCGAGACCGACUGGACCUUUAUUUUUCUAGAAAUGCUGUCGAUAGAACGACGUGGCAUGGUCGCAGUAGUGGCGAGACCGACUAGACCUUUAUUCUUCUAGAAAUGCUGUCGAUAGAACGACGUGGCAUGGUCACAGUAGUGGCGAGACCGACUGGACCUUUAUUUUUCUAGAAAUGCUGUCGAUAGAACGACGUGGCAUGGUCGCAGUAGUGGCGAGACCGACUGGACCUUUAUUCUUCUAGAAAUGCUGUCGAUAGAACGACGUGGCAUGGUCGCAGUAGUGGCGAGACCGACUGGACCUUUAUUCUUCUAGAAAUGAUGUCAAUAGAACGACGUGGCAUGGUCGCAGUAGUGGCGAGACCGACUGGGCCUUUAUUCUUCUAGAAAUGCUGUCGAUAGAACGACGUGGCAUGGUCGCAGUAGUGGCGAGACCGACUGGACCUUUAUUCUUCUAGAAAUGUUGUAAUAUUAGUAGAUAGCCGACCGGCGAAUAAGCUGUACUCUUGUGUGGCAGUGGAUAAUGAUGACAUGGAAUGCUUGCUGUGAUUGUGAAAUUAAGUGAAAUUGAUUGUGUUCCGAUGGCUUACAUUCUUAUCAUUACUGGUGCUUGAGUGAUAUGAAUUGUACUAACCUGCAGGAAGGCAAGAAGGCGAGGUAAGUCUUCUGUGCUGUGUGGCUAGACCACUCUGGGGCGUAUUUUCUUUCUAAUAAGGGUUUAGGGGGUUGAACUUGCUGAGACGUUGUCUCAGUGGUUAUUGAAUAACCAUUUCAGGUCCCUGGUGGACGGAGCGGCCAGAUAGCUUUGGUUGGCCUUGAGGAGUUGCAGAGGUGAAGCCAUAAGGAUUGGAGAGCGUGUCCGAUUUGUAGGUCGUAGGACAGUUCCUUUUUAAGAGCCGGUCUUUUGUAGACUUUUGGCUGUAGGCCUUCGUCUGUAACUCCGUUGGUUUGUGUAAGUGAUUGGUUGUGAAAUUGUUUCCUGCUUUUCUAUCCCGUAUUUUAUUGUCAGGGGUUUUAUAAUACGUUCCGCUUGCGUAAUAAUAAAUGAAUGGGGUCGGCGACAUUACCUGGGAAUGUC